GCGGAGGGAUCAUUACCGAGCGAGGGUCCUCCAGGCCCGACCUCUCAACCCCAUGUGACCCGACACCGUUGCCUCGGGGGCGACCCGGCCGUCUCGGCCGGGGCCCCCGGUGGACCGACCAAACACUGCGUCCGUGCGUCCGAGUCCCAUGACAAAUCAAUCAAAACUUUCAACAACGGAUCUCUUGGUUCUGGCAUCGAUGAAGAACGCAGCGAAAUGCGAUAAGUAAUGUGAAUUGCAGAAUUCAGUGAAUCAUCGAAUCUUUGAACGCACAUUGCGCCCUCUGGUAUUCCGGGGGGCAUGCCUGUCCGAGCGUCAUUUCACCAGUCAAGCCUCGCUUGUUCUUGGGCGCCGCGGCCCGCCGCGCGCCCCAAUGUCUCCGGCUGAGCCGUCCGUCUCGAAGCGUUGUGGCAACUCAAUCCGCUUACGGGUCUCGGGGGGCUUGUCGCCGUCAGAACACACCACACCAGGUUGACCUCGGAUCAGGUAGGGAUACCCGCUGAACUUAAGCAUAU
rnacentral:rRNA from 1 species